UGUUUACUAACCCCAGUUCCACCGUCCUCUAGUUGCCUCUGCUACUUUGUUCUACUCUGGGCUGGGAACUGGCUAAGCUUUGGUUGGGAAUGAGUAGGAUCCACGGUGAGGUGCGGAAGACUUGGAGGCACAUGCUGUGAUUUAACCCUCACAUGACAUUGGCUCUAAGAACUGAAGUCAUCUGACAUUUACUGUGGUCCCGGCAGCCGUGAAGAGGAUUGCCAGGGCUCAGAGUUGAGAGGGAAAAGAAUUUUCUCAGGUGCAUGCUGGGUGCAUAUGGGAAGAGAGGUAUCUUCUACAUCCUGAGUUGGGACCUGACUUCAGGGCUGACGGAAGCUGAGAAGCAAGAGCAUGCACAGCACCUGUGAGGACUGGAAAGCUCAGCAGCCGUGGAUGGGGAGUUUGCAGCAGCCCUUAUGGGAACCAUCUGCCCAGACCACGAACCACGUCUUAUUCCUAAAUAACCCCAAAGAAACUGGAUCCCACCCCAGAAAACUUCAAUGGAGUUCUCUCUUCUGCUCAGUGUCUUCAGCUUCUGCCUUCGUAGGGAGGUAUCAGAAAGAGGUUUCUGAAGUACAUGCUGUCCUUUUUAGCCAUUCCUGGGUGAGAACACCCUUGCCCAACAGCAAGCCAGGCAGGAGUUGGCAACAGUGCCUCCAUGCUACCCUCCUUGGGGUGUGCAGAGAUGGUCACGUGUGUAGUCAGGGCCAAGAGCGGUGCUUCACGGGGCAGGGAGUAGGUGAUACAGUGUUUGCAUGUAUCACACCUGUGAAAACAGCAUGUUGGGAAAUAGCAUGGCAUAGCUAGGAUAUGAGGGGCUUUUAGUUGGGUGGAGGGGCUCCUGGUUACUGUUGGUUUCCUUGGCAGGUGAGUCACAGCCUUCAAAUUGUUCCCAUAAUCACCUUCCUUCUGAUUCGGGCUCCCCCCUUCUUCCUGGUCUUUGGACCCUGAAUGUCAAGGCCCACCUCGGCUCAUCUCCCCAUCUCUUGAUCUAUAACGCCAUCACACCUGCAAAGUCCCCUUGGCCACCGACAGACACUAGCAUAACUCUCAGGGUUGGGAACCAGGGCAUCCCUGGGAGCCAUUACUCUGCUCCAGAGAUGAACACAGGUGGAAUUUUCUCGUCACCCCAAAUUCAUGGAGUGGGGUGCCUGUUUGUGCAGCCUUUCGUUCUCUCCCUAAGCUGUUGCGGAUUUCACAGAAACAGAACAAUGGCUGUCACAUGCUGUCGCGAGGGAGCACAGCAUCCUCUCUUCAAGAUCAGAAGGAUGUAGCAGGGAAGCGCUGUGGGUACCUCCUGCACACUGUGACAUCAAGGUCGCUGUGAUCCAGGCACAUUGUGGUGACAGUGACAUGCUCAAGGUCGCUGAGCCCAGUGUGAGGCGAGGAGGAAAGCCCCCACCUUCCCGGGAAGCAGCGCUCAUGAAAGGCAUGCAUUUUGCUCUCAGAUUUUAAAGCUCCUUUUACCUGCUGUGACACGUACUCGCGGGCCAGGAAGAGCCCUGUGUUUCCAGCCAUUUCCACACUGUGACACCGGGGACGUGCCCACCUUGCUAAUUGGGGAGGAUUAAAUGGAGCAGCCAGCACAAAGCCUGCAGCAGCACUGUUUCAGAGCGGGAGCUGAGCUGACAGCAGCCUUCCCCUUCCUCCAGGCAUGUCCCUGGCAGAGCCUGCCUCCCUCACAAAGGCAAGAGGCCACACUGCCUAGGAAUGGUGUCUUCCCACCUGCAGAU